rnacentral:lncRNA from 1 species
CAAGGAGUUGGUGCAAGGCUGAGGAUCCCUGGGCCAGAGAAGACAGAGGCAAGAAGAAGGAGAAAACCCAAAUUUUGGAGUCCCCCAGAUCUCCUCCUGCCACUUCCCAGCUGUGUGACCUUAGACAGUAUGUCUCUUCACCUCUCUGAGCGACAGCUACAUCAUCUGAAUACUGGAGCCAGAUAAUAAAGACAUUGACCUCACAGGGUUGGUGGAAGAGGGCUUUUGCUGUAGAAUGGACCACUCCUACGACUUUAGAAAUAUAAAAAUUCCUGAAGACACAGAUCAUUAGACUCAAGAAGUAACCAGCCAUGGAGAGUCUGGGUGUUCAGUGUCAAUGUCGAUGGCGGUUUGCAUACUUGGGUAUAAGGCCAAUAGUUUGGGGGGCUUCUAACACUUUGGGGGCUCUGGGACUCUACGGCUGAGGAAGGAAAAGAGGAAUAAAAACAUUCGCGAGG